rnacentral:rRNA from 1 species
ACGGAAGGCAGCAGUGGGGAAUAUUGGUCAAUGGGCGGAAGCCUGAACCAGCCAAGUCGCGUGAAGGAUGAAGGUAUUAUGUAUUGUAAACUUCUUUAGACGUAGAGAAAUAAGAGGGUCGUGACCCUUGAUGCUAGUAUACGUAGAAUAAGGAUCGGCUAACUCCGUGCCAGCAGCCGCGGUAAUACGGAGGAUCCGAGCGUUAUCCGGAUUUAUUGGGUUUAAAGGGUGCGCAGGCGGUCUUUUAAGUCAGUGGUUAAAUCUUGGGGCUUAACUCCAUCCCGCCAUUGAUACUGGAGGACUUGAUUGCGGUUGAGGUUGGCGGAAUUCGCCGUGUAGCGGUGAAAUGCAUAGAUAUGGCGAAGAACUCCGAUUGCGUAGGCAGCUGACCAAGCCGUAAAUGACGCUCAUGCACGAAAGUGCGGGGAUCGAACAGGAUUAGAUACCCUGGUA